AGAGUUUGAUCCUGGCUCAGAAUGAACGCUGGCGGCGUGCCUAACACAUGCAAGUCGUACGAGAAAGACUGUUUUCGGAUGGUCGAGUAAAGUGGCGCACGGGUGAGUAACGCGUAGGUAACCUACCCUUGUAUUGGGGAUAACAGGACGAAAGUUCUGCUAAUACCGGAUGUGACCUGGGGCUGGAGGGUUUCAGGUUAAAGUGGGCCUCUCGAAGAAGCUCAUGUACAGGGAUGGGCCUGCGUCCUAUCAGCUUGUUGGUGGGGUAAUGGCCUACCAAGGCGACGACGGGUAGCUGGUCUGAGAGGAUGAUCAGCCACACUGGCACUGGAACACGGGCCAGACUCCUACGGGAGGCAGCAGUGAGGAAUUUUGCGCAAUGGGAGCAAUCCUGACGCAGCAACGCCGCGUGGGUGAAGAAGGCCUUCGGGUCGUAAAGCUCUGUCAGAGGGAAAGAAGUGCAGUGGUGCUAAUACCAUCAUUGCUUGACGGUACCCUCAAAGGAAGCACCGGCUAACUCCGUGCCAGCAGCCGCGGUAA
rnacentral:rRNA from 1 species